GAUGAACGCUGGCGGCGUGCCUAAUACAUGCAAGUCGAGCGAACGGACGAGAAGCUUGCUUCUCUGAUGUUAGCGGCGGACGGGUGAGUAACACGUGGAUAACCUACCUAUAAGACUGGGAUAACUUCGGGAAACCGGAGCUAAUACCGGAUAAUAUUUUGAACCGCAUGGUUCAAAAGUGAAAGACGGUCUUGCUGUCACUUAUAGAUGGAUCCGCGCUGCAUUAGCUAGUUGGUAGGGUAAAGGCUUACCAAGGCAACGAUGCAUAGCCGACCUCAGAGGGUCAUCGGCCACACUGGAACUGAGACACGGUCCCGACUCCUACGGGAGGCAGCAGUAGGGAAUCUUCCGCGAUGGGCGAAAGCCUGACGGUGCACCGCCGCGUGAGUGAUGAAGGUCUUCGGAUCCUAAAACUCUGUUAUUAGGGAAGAACAUAUGUGUAAGUAACUGUGCACAUCUUGACGGUACCUAAUCAGAAAGCCACGGCUAACUACGUG
rnacentral:rRNA from 1 species